rnacentral:rRNA from 1 species
AUACGGAGGAUGCGAGCGUUAUCCGGAUUUAUUGGGUUUAAAGGGUGCGUAGGCGGACGAUUAAGUCAGCUGUGAAAUGCCCGCGCUUAACGCGGGAAGUGCAGUUGAUACUGGGUGGCUUGAUUGCGGUCGAGGUUGGCGGAAUUCGUUGUGUAGCGGUGAAAUGCAUAGAUAUGACGAAGAACACCGAUUGCGUAGGCAGCUGACCAGACCGCAAAUGACGCUCAUGCACGAAAGUGUGGGUAUCAAACAGGAUUAGAUACCCUGGUAGUCCACACAGUAAACGAUGAAUACUCGCUGUUUGCGAUAUACAGUAAGCGGCCAAGCGAAAGCGUUAAGUAUUCCACCUGGGGAGUACGCCGGCAACGGUGAAACUCAAAUGAAUUGACGGGG